rnacentral:rRNA from 1 species
UACGUAGGGUGCAAGCGUUGUCCGGAAUUAUUGGGCGUAAAGAGCUCGUAGGCGGUUCGUCGCGUCGGCUGUGAAAACCCGGAGCUCAACUCCGGGCCUGCAGUCGAUACGGGCGGACUCGAGUUCGGCAGGGGAGACUGGAAUUCCUGGUGUAGCGGUGAAAUGCGCAGAUAUCAGGAGGAACACCGGUGGCGAAGGCGGGUCUCUGGGCCGUAACUGACGCUGAGACACGAAAGCGUGGGUAGCAAACAGG